CAGCCUCCUGGGAUAACACUGACGUUCAUGCUCGAAAGCGUGGGUAGCAAACAGGAUUAGAUACCCUGGUAGUCCACGCCCUAAACGAUGUCAAUUAGCUGUUGGGCAACUUGAUUGCUUAGUAGCGUAGCUAACGCGUGAAAUUGACCGCCUGGGGAGUACGGUCGCAAGAUUAAAACUCAAAGGAAUUGACGGGGACCCGCACAAGCGGUGGAUGAUGUGGAUUAAUUCGAUGCAACGCGAAGAACCUUACCUGGUCUUGACAUGUACGGAAUCCUCCAGAGACGGAGGAGUGCCUUCGGGAGCCGUAACACAGGUGCUGCAUGGCUGUCGUCAGCUCGUGUCGUGAGAUGUUGGGUUAAGUCCCGCAACGAGCGCAACCCUUGUCAUUAGUUGCCAUCAUUAAGUUGGGCACUCUAAUGAGACUGCCGGUGACAAGCCGGAGGAAGGUGGGGAUGACGUCAAGUCCUCAUGGCCCUUAUGACCAGGGCUUCACACGUCAUACAAUGGUCGGUACAGAGGGUAGCCAAGCCGCGAGGCGGAGCCAAUCUCACAAAACCGAUCGUAGUCCGGAUUGCACUCUGCAACUCGAGUGCAUGAAGUCGGAAUCGCUAGUAAUCGCAGGUCAGCAUACUGCGGUGAAUACGUUCCCGGGUCUUGUACACACCGCCCGUCACACCAUGGGAGUGGGGGAUACCAGAAGUAGGUAGGGUAACCGCAAGGAGCCCGCUUGCCACGGUAUGCUUCAUGACUGGGGUGAAGUCGUAACAAGGUAGCCGUAGGGGAACC
rnacentral:rRNA from 1 species